rnacentral:lncRNA from 1 species
UGGGGAUAUGUUUUCGUUUUAAUCUCAGGUGUGGGAUAUGGGGCUGCUUCAGACUGUCCCCAGCAGCUGACUUUGAUUUGCCUUGUGUUCUAGCAGAGGCAUGAUGUUGCCAGCUGCAGAUAGUUUCUGCAACUGUAUGACAUUUAGAAUUCUGGGGGACUCUUGAGAGGAUCUAUAAACACUGUAGCCCUGACAGUGGUUUUGGUGGCUGCUCCUCCUCCUCCUCUUCCUCCUCGUGCAGCUUGCUGUUUGCUGUUGUUGUGGUUUGUCAAGAGGUUGUCCACAGAGACAAGAAGAAAUUGAAUAUCCUGAGGGCAAAGAUCAAAUUCACCCCAAGGCACUCGACACCCCUAGCCAGCUGUGCUAACGACACCUCUCCUUCCCCUCUAUUUUUCUUUCCCUCCUAUCUAAUGCCGAAGGCUGGAAGGGUAGAGAAGAGUGGAGAAGGGCGAAAGAGGGUAAGGAACCCACAAAGUCGAAGAGCUCUGGUGACAACCCUACAUUUGAAUUUGGUUUAUUAUAGGACGACAGAAGCAGAAACGGAGGAGCCAUGCCCGAUGCUGCUGGCGCUGGCCAUUGAACAGGGGCAGGCAAGCUUCCUCAUCUCUCCGGACGUGCCUUUUCUUAUGCCUGGUUAUGCUGUGGGUGUCACAGGUGGAAUGCCCAUGAUGAGAUUUUACCAACAGGCAUGCUGGGAAGACAUUGUUAGUGCUUACCCCCUAGAUCCCGGGGGCGCGGUGUCGCAGAGAGCAGAGGGGACAGGAUGUGUCCCUUGGAAGUGGAGGUCUGAACAGCUCCUCAGCGCUCCAAGCCUCCAUAAGGAUUGCUGUUUUUUUUCCUUCUUUGAGACGAAGUCUAUGUGACCCAGACUGGCCUCAAACUUAGUAUUCUCCUGCCUCAGCCUUCUGACUGCUGGGAUUACGUAAGGGCACCCAUGCCUGGCGAUACUGAACUCAGAUUUACUGAGGAGGCUCAUGUGUUGUCUUCUGGAAACAUCUUCACUCUUCAGGAGCCGGCAGUGUACACAAUGCAGAGAGUAACCUCGGAAUGUGAGAAGUCCCCUCUCGCCUUUGUCAUGUUAGGGACAGCUUUGGUGCUGCAAAAACAAACAAACAAACAAACAAACAAACAAACCUUCAAUGACUUUGGGUAGUUAUAGUCUCUCAUUCCCGGAAACACUGUUAUUCAAUCAUUUGGCUUUGGGUAGUCGUUACCAAAAUAGCACCCCAUUUUCUGCUCUGGGGGGGAAGCAUUGUUGCCAUCAGCUGGGAUGUUGGGGUGGGGUGGGGAGUCAGAAACGGUGGGAUGGCACAGGAGAGUAUUUGUGUCAUAAAGAUUAGGUGCAGAUAGAGGUUGGAGGAAAGGCAGCCUAGAGGAUUAGGAAUCUAGAAUAACCGUUUAUUAUACAGACCACCAGGUCACGUAAAGUGAGGGUAGCAUCACCAAACAUCACUCCAGCCCUUUCUAAAGGCAGUUAUUAAAGAAAUUGGACAUUUUUGCUUUUAAAAAAUAAUGAAUUGAAAACGUAGGCUGCAUUUUGUGUGACUCCUAUUAUUCUAGUGUGUUUAUAAAUAUCUUCCCUGGGAAAUCUGUCUCUCCAGCACAUCAUGUUGGCGGUUAAACUGUAGAGCAAAAGUGUGCUGGUUUGCAGUGUUUUUGGAGGCGUAGGCUUAAGAUCAGGGAUGUCUUGGCCAGGAAGGUCAGGUGGACGGGAAAUUCUGAAGAAUGACCUGCUGCUCCUCAGUACAAACAAAGCCUCCCCGCCUUACAGGACCAUCUCCUUGGUACAGAACCUUCCCUCUCAAAGCUCAACAUUUCCCCAUCAGCCCACCGAAGCCUCGAAUCCCGUACUAUCCCAGGCCACUCCACCUAUCCCGUUUAUCAUGGCAUUUGCACCAUUUUAAAACUCUCAUUUUUCAGGAGACUUCUUCUCUGUCAAAUUGAGGUGUGAGAGAAUGAAUCAUGACUCCAGGCUCCCCCAGUGGAUCACACAGCCCUGCUUCCCUUUCUCACUCUUCACUUCACACUGGCCUUCUAUAAUGUUUUGGACCUAUGGUCUAUUUGAUAUUUACGCUGUUGCUUUUCUUCCACCUUCCUCUUCCUGAUUCUUUAAAACAUUUUUUUUCUCCCUCUAAGUUCAAGGGAUGGGUGGUUGUGAGAACUGUCUGAUGAUGAUGGGUGGAGACUAGGGUGUGGGGCGGGGGCCCAGGAGGAAGCAGAGAGGGCACCCUCCAAGGUUAGCAGAUCUGGGCUGGCAACCACAAACAGAUGAGUUUGUUCCAAAAGCCCUCCUCUCUCCACACCUGUCUUUCCCCAAGUGCUAACGUGUCUCCUGUCACAGUGGGAACUCGGUAGGGUUGUGGUUUCUUCUAAUUCCCUCCUGUAAUUUCCAGACAUGACGGUCCUUCUCCUGGCUGGCAGACUUAAUUUCCCUUAUGAUGCUCUUAGAUUAAACUAAUUCCUGCUUUGAAAGGGGAUAUUAAAAAGAAAGAAAGGAAAACAAAAAGUUGUAAAAAAAAAAAAAAACUGCACGUGGAGAUCAAGUUCAUGUGGCCAUGCGUGCCUUUCUACAGACAGUUAGGGAGCGUUAGAGAGUGAGCAAGGAUCAGGCCCUUUCCGUCAUCAUCUUUAUUCAUUCUCUUGCCCUCUCCCUCCUUCCUUCCCUCUUCCUUUCAUUUCCCAGCUGACAGAAUUGGAUGUUUUUCAUCUUGGCAAACUGACUUCUGAGGAAAAGCUUGGAGCAAAGCAAUGCGAGAUGCCUGGAAUCAGCAAGAACCUGGACACGCUUCGAUCCAGCCUUUAAAUGGGACGAGGGAGAAGCCUGUCUCUGCUCCUGCCAGGGUCUGGGAUCUGGGAGGAAGGGGUGCCUCUCCCCACCGCCUCUGUCUGGCUCCUGACCGUCUGGAAUCCAUUGUGUCUGCCCCAGCACCUGGCAGCUGGCAUGAGCCUGCUGUCUGCAGCAGGCACACAGGCCACACUGUUGGGGAUUAGAUGGAACAUACGCCUAUAAGAUGCUUAUAGCCUUUCCCAAGCACAGGACCACUCCAGCUCAAGAACGGGGCAAUUAGAUGAAGGCUCACGCUGAGAGGAAAGCUGUUUCCUGGCUGAAAGCUGUAAUCCCUCCCUUGCUUCAGCCUCUCUUCUGCUCCAGUUUAUCUGUUUUCCUCCUUUGCCUUUUAUUUUUUUCCUUCUUUUCUCUCUUUCUUUGUAGUGCAUGUGUGUACAUGUUCUUGUGUGUACAUGCAUGCUGUGUGAAGGACAGAUACUGAGUGUUUUUCUCAAUUGCUUCUCUACCUCAUUGGCUCCUUUUCCAUUUUUCAUGUGUGUGAAUGUAUGGUUUUGCAUGUGUGUGGCCGUGCAUAUGCCCAUGUGUGGGUACUCACAAUGUAGAUUGAGCUGGCUUCAAACUCCGAGAUCUACCUGCCUCUGCUUCCUGAGUGCUGGCAUUAAAGACGUGGCCGCCAUGCUUGGGGUCAAGUCUCCUGAUGAACCUGGAGCCGAGUUCUGUGGAUCAGAACUCAACUUCUCACUGCGUGAUAAGCACGGACUGACUGAGCCAUGUCUCCAACCUCUACUCUUUCUUCACUCAUCUGCUUUCUGUUCUCUACUCAUCUCCAGCUUAGCUUGCGCCUUCUCCUGACAACCCUCUGCUCUUCCAGUUUCUUCUCCUCCCUCUUGCGCUUGCUUUUUUCUGCGCAGUCACUUUGUGCUGGCUGCAUUUUUCUUCACUCAGGUGUCGGCUUAAGCAGACUACAACUCUCAUGGGGGGAAGAAGCAAGCAAUACGGUUGCAGGUUGCAGCUUCAUAUGUGUGUGGACAGGCAGGGCAGUAACUCAGAAAGCCAUGGGCACUGCCAUUGGCUGAGUACAACUACCAAUUCAGACAUUAUGGUGGUGAGCCCAGCCCUUCUCUGUCUAACUCUGACGUGUUCCUUGCUUUUAUAUAUUUUAGGGUGGUGGGUGGAAACGCUGUGGGUUUGGGGUGGGAAAGUGUUUCUGGUUUGAUUCUAAUGUCUAAAGCAAAGGUUCUCCCAGCUUUGGCAUGCACACAGGUACCUGCCCAGCCCCACCAGUUUCCAGUGCAGUUGGGGUGGGGCCUGAGAGUAUAUGUCUGGCAGGUUCCCAGGUGAGGCUGGUGCUAAUGGCCUGGCAUUGACCUUGAAGUUAGGAGCUAGUCUGAACUCAACCCUAAAUGACAGUAAACAUCUUUUACACCUUGACGUGUGUGCAGGGUGGGUGUAUAUGGAGGAUUUGCCUUUAUCUGUAAAACUGCUCACAAUGUAAAAGUGACCUGGUGCGAAAGGAAUCACAAACUAAGGGAACAUAAAGAUGAGUUUUGGCUUAAAUCAUAGGACUGCUGUCAGGAUAGUUUGUUCUUUUUGCAGAACUCUGUAGGCCGCUCUUCCAUUUUCUGGCUGACAGCAUCUUGUUGGUAUUCUGAGUAAAGGACCUCUCAAUUGUAUCACUUGAAUAAAAAUUCCCC